UAUAUUUUCCGGUCACUUUUCAUCCAGACACUCAGGGAUCUAAGCUUUGGAGUGUGCUUUCACUUAAUAUGUGUAGGUCCAUGACAAGUAGAUUGGCUGAAUCCAACUCCCCUAUUCUGAAUGUUAGCUCGUUCAGUCAUUGAAUAUAUAACUUGUAUUGGUUGUAUGGGGUUUUGUCCCGAAACUAGAGUCGCAUCCUAGCUUAAUUACCUAGAAUAUGCAAAAUGUUUAGUUCGUGUUUAAAUUUGUCCUUGUUUCACUCUCGUAGGCGAAUCAUUUGUGGUUUUGUGCUUGGGAUGUAUUCAUCUCUCUGGUUAGGAAGUUAUCAGGAGCCCAUCCAUAAACUUGAGGAAGUCCAAAGUAUUAGAGAAAGAUCGGACUGUGCUUUUAUUCCUUCCAUUGGCAUUGAAGCGGCUCUAUCUAGAUUCAAAGCAUGAAUCUGUCCACACCCUAGCAUGCGUCGAUGAGCCAUGACACCCACACCUUGUAGUUGCUUGGUGUGGUGAUGACCGAACCCACACCUUGUAGUGGCUUGGUGUGGUGAUGACCGAACGUCACUUGAGGGAUGGCAAUGGCAGUGUCCUAACCUCCAUGUCAGGCAACUACGGCUUGGCAGACUACCGCCUCCUUGACCACUACCACGUCUCCCCCUGUAGUUGCGGUGGUGGCCGCCUUGUCUUGGUUCUGUAAGUGGCUCUAUUUAGAGUCAAUGUUGUAAUCCCUGCCUGCCCCAGCUUGUGCCAACAAAUUGUGGCCCUCACACCUUGAUGUGGCAUGCUGGGUGGUGACCGAACUGUCACCACCAUGCACUUCUUGCGUUGGCACAUGGUGUGGCUACAACCGUGGUGGUGGUGGUCGCCUUGUCCUUUGUUCUGAAGCACACGGCAGUGACAACGGUGACAAUGAUUGGACAAUGGUGGAUGUGUUGUUAAGCUACAUGUCUGGCUAGUACGGCUCGAUGGACUACCUCCUCCUCGGUCUCUUUCUUGGUUCUAGUGAGUCCCUAGUCUCCUCCCUCUUCCGUGGUGCCCUAAGAUGGUCCGGCCAUCAAGCCAUGGCCAGAUGUGGUUCCGGACAUCGAGCCAUGGCUAGAUGUGCCUUGGUUGUGUGGUCAUGUUGUUUGGUGGUGGUCUUCCGGCCACCACAAUCAUUUGAUUGUGAUGAUCUCAUUGUUCACAUUGCUCCCUGUGCUGGAAUGCUGGUUAGGCCCUUGCACUACUACUGUACAUGCUAUUUGUUGGUUUUUGAUAGUUAUUUAUGAUUGUAGCAUGUCACCGUCUAGGGGUAGAAUUUGAUAUAAAAGGAACAUAUCUUUUUUUACCUCACCUAUUGUAGGGUUUGGUAAUGGUUAGUGUCUAAUUUGAGAGGAUCAAAAUGCUAGGUAUUUUACUUGUUAAUGGCUAUCAAAUCAAAUAGAAUGCUGGUAGGAUGUUUUCAUGAUUGCCAAAUGCUUAAAAUCAGGAAAAUGAUUGUCGAUUAUAUCGUUUGGAUUUUUACAUAUAUUUCUUUAUAUGUUGUAGAUUACAUACAUUCAAUGCCAUGGUCCAGAUUACAGUUUUUGGUUAUGUGUUCCAUCCUCUGCUCUUUUCCCCAAAUGUUGUGUUGUGAGUGUCCGAAACAUUCUUUGAACUGAAGAGAGUAAAUUUCCUGGUGGUCUUUUAUGAUCUUUGCUUUGUAAGACUGCACUAUGGAUGAUGUACUUUUUGGAUUGGAAAAGGUGAAAUUAAAAGUUGCUCUAAGCUUUCCUCCAUUCCUAUGAUAAUUGCUUUUCGAACUAGUUCUGCACUCGUGUAAUCUUUUUUCUGUUUUCCUUGCACCUGCGACACUUUUGCGUGAGUGUGGAGUUUGAUUGUUGAUCUGGCUGUGGUAGUAAUUUGGUGACAAGAUAUGCCAGCAAUUUCUAAAGAUGAUACUUAUUGUCGCCAACUAGUGUGUAGAUUGGAUGGGUGUUUUCUAUCCUUUUGUAUUUUCUCUUUGAGCUAAGUUGUGGAGCGAAGCACGUAGUUGUCAUAGGUAGCAUACUAUUUUGUGGUGGUGGGUAGUAUGAGCCAGCAUUUGGUUUCAUAUGUUGAGAAUUUCUAGUGUCUUAUUGGAUCCAGUCACUAUAUAACCUUUAGUUUGUGAAGUUGCUUUGGUUUCCGAGUAUAUAUGCAUUGCAGGAGGACUGAAGAGAAGGAGGUUUGGAAAUCUUAGG